rnacentral:rRNA from 1 species
GUAGUAAUGGGUAAUGGGGAAUUAGGGUUCGAUUUCAGAGAGGGAGCCUGAAAAAUGGCUACCACAUCCAAGGAAAGCAGCAGGCGCGCAAAUUACCCAAUCCCGACACGGGGAGGUAGUGACAAUAAAUAACAAUACAGGGCCUUUCAGAUCUUGUAAUUGGAAUGAGUACAAUUUAAAUCUCUUAACGAGGAACAAUUGGAGAGCAAGUCUGGUGCCAGCAGCCACAGUAAUUCCAGCUCCAAUAGCGUAUAUUAAAGUUGUUGCAGUUAAAAAGCUCGUAGUUGAUUUUUAGGCCUGGCCGGGCGGUCCAUUUUUGGCGAGUACUGUCUUGUUGUCGGGUCUUCCUUCUGGUGAACCAGUAUGUCCUUUAUUGGGUGUGUUGGGGAGCCAGAACCAUUACCUUGAAAAAAUUAGAGUGUUUAAAGCGGGCUAUUGCUUGAAUAGAUUAGCAUGGAAUAAUAGAAUAGAACGUUGUGGUUCUAUUUUGUUGGUUUCUAGGACCACCGUAAUGAUUAAUAGAGAUAGUUGGGGGCAUUAGUAUUCAAUUGUCAGAGGUGAAAUUCUUGGAUUUAUUGAAGACUAACUAUUGCGAAAGCAUUUGCCAAGGAUGUUUUCAUUAAUCAAGAAUGAAAGUUAGGGGAUCAAAGACGAUCAGAUACCGUCGUAGUCUUAACCAUAAACUAUGCCGACUAGGAAUCAGGCGUCAUU